rnacentral:rRNA from 1 species
AACGAGCGCUGGCGGCAUGGAUUAGGCAUGCAAGUCGAACGCAUCCUUCGGGAUGAGUGGCGGAAGGGUGAGGAACGCGUGAGUAAUCUGCCCAUGGAUUGGGAAUAACAGCUGGAAACGGCUGCUAAUACCGAAUGUGGCUAAAAGGACGCAUGUCCUUUUGGCUAAAGAUUUAUCGUCCGUGGAUGAGCUCGCGUCCCAUUAGGUAGUUGGUGCGGUAACGGCGCACCAAGCCUGCGAUGGGUAGCUGGUCUGAGAGGAUGGUCAGCCACACUGGAACUGAGACACUGUCCAGACUCCUACGGGAGGCUGCAGUCGAGAAUCUUGGGCAAUGCGCGAAAGCGUGACCCAGCAAUGCCGCGUGUAUGAUGAAGGCCUUCGGGUCGUAAAAUACUGUCACCCGUGACGAAAUUUGACGGUAACGGGGAAGGAAGCCACGGCUAACUACGUGCCAGCCGCCGCGGUAAUAC